rnacentral:rRNA from 1 species
AUUGAACGCUGGCGGCAUGCCUUACACAUGCAAGUCGAACGGCAGCACGGGUGCUUGCACCUGGUGGCGAGUGGCGAACGGGUGAGUAAUACAUCGGAACAUGUCCUGUAGUGGGGGAUAGCCCGGCGAAAGCCGGAUUAAUACCGCAUACGAUCUAGGGAUGAAAGCGGGGGACCUUCGGGCCUCGCGCUAUAGGGUUGGCCGAUGGCUGAUUAGCUAGUUGGUGGGGUAAAGGCCUACCAAGGCGACGAUCAGUAGCUGGUCUGAGAGGACGACCAGCCACACUGGGACUGAGACACGGCCCAGACUCCUACGGGAGGCAGCAGUGGGGAAUUUUGGACAAUGGGCGAAAGCCUGAUCCAGCAAUGCCGCGUGUGUGAAGAAGGCCUUCGGGUUGUAAAGCACUUUUGUCCGGAAAGAAAUCCUUGGCUCUAAUACAGUCGGGGGAUGACGGUACCGGAAGAAUAAGCACCGGCUAACUACGUGCCAGCAGCCGCGGUAAUACGUAGGGUGCAAGCGUUAAUCGGAAUUACUGGGCGUAAAGCGUGCGCAGGCGGUUUGCUAAGACCGAUGUGAAAUCCCCGGGCUCAACCUGGGAACUGCAUUGGUGACUGGCAGGCUAGAGUAUGGCAGAGGGGGGUAGAAUUCCACGUGUAGCAGUGAAAUGCGUAGAGAUGUGGAGGAAUACCGAUGGGCGAAAGCAGCCUCCCUGGGCCAAUACUGACGCUCAUGCACGAAAAGCGUGGGGAGCAAACAGG